CUUGGUCCCAAGACUGGAAGGAAAUCAAAAUAUCAUUUCAGGUGAACUAUCAAUAAAACAUUUUAAAAAAGGUUGUGAGGAGUUGUGAUACUAAAGAGCUGUACACAUAUUGACAAGCAAGUCUCAGAGUAACAUAAUCUAGGAUCAGGUCCCAUAUUCACAAACAGUCUCAGAGUAACAGAACUGAACUGGGUCUAGGAUCAGGUCCCAUAUUCACAAACAGUCUCAGAGGAACAGAACUGAACUGGGUCUAGGAUCAGGUCCCAUAUUCACAAACAGUCUCAGAGUAACAGAACUGAACUGGGUCUAGGAUCAGGUCCCAUAUUCACAAACAGUCUCAGAGGAACAGAACUGGGUCUAGGAUCAGGUCCCA